UGAAAAAAUCUGUUGUGGUCUCAGUUUUUUCCGGAGCUGUAUAUAUUGGCAGAGGAGGCGGGCAAACACAAUAUGUAGUCUACAGGAAAGAGGAUCAGUAUUGCAAUGAAGUCAAACUGAAACGAAAAUGAGUCAAAAUAAAAAGUAGGUGUGUGAAACAGGAGGCUAACAGCCAAUCCACAGCUGUUCACUAAAGCGACUUUAUCGGGAUAGCUAUACUUACUAGGUUUUAAGUGACUAACAGUGAAACACGGCAACCACUGGUUUGUUUUAAAAGCUGGAUGGGCAUCGAGUCCCAAAAGAGAACAAUACCUAUAAAACAGCAGCGCUUAAUUAUUUUGGAUUGUCUCGUUUCAAGAUUUCAAGACGGACGUGGUUGGGAGGAUGUUUCUACGUGAUGUUAUCUGUUUCUGGACUACAAGAAUUGCCUAUUUUUCAGUCAUGGUUAUGCACAUCUCUCCGAUGUUAUCGAUGCCAACACAACCGGAGUUAAUUACGGGGCAGUGCAAUUCCAAUAUUACCAUACAAUGCGGCAAGACUCAUAAAACCAGCGAGUAUCGGGUUAUCAUCUGGUACAAGAUCAAUGACACAAAUCAGUCCGGCAUCAUCAGGAAGAGCCACGGAGUUGUUCCGAAAAGAUAUGGCUACUCCCGAGAUGUCAGUAUGGACAGCAGUGGCGGAUUGUUCCUUCCUUGGCUUCAGCCUGAAGACUCUGGGAGGUAUCUGUGCCACCUCGGAGCAUUCGUUGGAGGGAGGAAUGAAGACUUCUCGCUCGAGUUAAAUGUGUCAGAGUGUGUCACGCCGGUGAGUCCCACGUUCACUGAUGUCUCUGCGAAUCAGGCCUGCUGCACGACCCCUCCUCCAUACAAAGAGCUCUCUGCCGCAUGGCUAGCAUCCAGCUUCUCAUUGGUCAGCUUCUUUAAAGCACUGCUGUGCUUUCUGGUUAUCUGGGCAAGUACCUCGUCUCUGGAAUCAUUCAUGUAGCCUCCCUGUCCCCUUUACUGCUUCACGCAACAUGACUGUCGGAAUGAAAGACCUGAUUCACUGAUUAAGAGUUACCCAUCAUGGUGAAAAGGAAGCUGAGGAGUCAAUCAUAACACAGGAGAUCCCUGGUUUCCAUGUUCCUCAGGAAUGCAAUAAGAAUGACUGGACUUCACACCCACUGCGUCACCAGCUGUCUGACAUGUAAAUAUGCUACUUCGCAAUUUUGUAUUAUAAUAAAAUAUACAGCAUGAAAUAUA